rnacentral:rRNA from 1 species
UACGUAGGGUGCAAGCGUUAAUCGGAAUUACUGGGCGUAAAGCGUGCGCAGGCGGUGAUGUAAGACAGGUGUGAAAUCCCCCGGCUUAACCUGGGAACUGCGUCUGAUACUGGAGGGCUUGAGUGCGGGAGAGGGAGUGUGGAAUUCCAGGUGUAGCGGUGAAAUGCGUAGAUAUCUGGAGGAACACCGGUGGCGAAGGCGGCAUCCUGGACCGAGAUUGACGCUGAGGCGCGAAAGCCAGGGGAGCAAACGGG